GCGCCUGUAGCUCACAUGGAUAGAGCGGGGCUCUCCUAAGGCCUAGGUAGCAGGUUCAACUCCUGCCAGGCGCA
rnacentral:tRNA from 1 species